UGGGGAAUAUUGCACAAUGGGCGAAAGCCUGAUGCAGCGACGCCGCGUGAGGGAUGACGGCCUUCGGGUUGUAAACAUCUUUCAGUAGGGACGAAGCGCAAGUGACGGUACCUGCAGAAGAAGCACCGGCUAACUACGUGCCAGCAGCCGCGGUAAUACGUAGGGUGCGAGCGUUGUCCGGAAUUACUGGGCGUAAAGAGCUCGUAGGCGGUUUGUCACGUCGUCUGUGAAAUCCUAGGGCUUAACCCUGGACGUGCAGGCGAUACGGGCUGACUUGAGUACUACAGGGGAGACUGGAAUUUCUGGUGUAGCGGUGGAAUGCACAGAUAUCAGGAAGAACACCGAUGGCGAAGGCAGGUCUCUGGGUAGUAACUGACGCUGAGGAGCGAAAGCAUGGGUAGCGAACAGG
rnacentral:rRNA from 1 species